CGGCGAGUGAAGAGGGACAAGCUCAAAGUGCUAAUCAGUGCAUUGCACUGAAUUGUGGCCUCUAGAAACGACACCAGUGGCAUUGCAGAGGUAAAUCUCCUGGAAAGGAGUAGCAGAGAGGGUGAGACUCCCGUCUUUACUCUGCAGUGUGCCGCGUAUCGGUGCGUUUUCUCUGAGUCGAGUAGCUUGGGACUGCUGCUCAAAAUUGGUGGUAAACUUCAUCUAAAGCUAAACAUUGGUGAGAGACCGAUAGCAAACAAGUACUGUGAAGGAAAGAUGAAAAGAACACAGGUAUGUGGGUUAAAAGUACCUGAAACCGCUGCAAGGGAAGCGAAUGGGACCAGUAGUGUAUCGAACGA
rnacentral:rRNA from 14 species